rnacentral:rRNA from 1 species
UUAGAGGAAGUAAAAGUCGUAACAAGGUUUCCGUAGGUGAACCUGGGAAGGAUCAUUACAGUAUUCUUUUUGCCAGCGCUUAAUUGCGCGGCGAAAAAACCUUACACACAGUGUUUUUUGUUAUUACAAGAACUCUUGCUUUGGUCUGGACUAGAAAUAGUUUGGGCCAGAGGUUUACUGAACUAAACUUCAAUAUUUAUAUUGAAUUGUUAUUUAUUUUAAUUGUCAAUUUGUUGAUUAAAUUCAAAAAAUCUUCAAAACUUUCAACAACGGAUCUCUUGGUUCUCGCAUCGAUGAAGAACGCAGCGAAAUGCGAUAAGUAAUAUGAAUUGCAGAUUUUCGUGAAUCAUCGAAUCUUUGAACGCACAUUGCGCCCUUUGGUAUUCCAAAGGGCAUGCCUGUUUGAGCGUCAUUUCUCUCUCAAACCUUCGGGUUUGGUAUUGAGUGAUACUCUUAGUCAAACUAGGCGUUUGCUUGAAAUGUAUCGGCAUGAGUGGUACUGGAUACUGCUAUAUGACUUUCAAUGUAUUAGGUUAAUCCAACUCGUUGAAUAGUUUAAUCGUAUAUUUCUCGGUACUCUAGCCUCGGCCUUACAAUAUAACAAACAAGUUGACCUCAAAUCAGG